GAUGAAGAACGUAGCGAAAUGCGAUAAGUAAUGCGAAUUGCAGAAUUCAGUGAGUCAUCGAAUCUUUGAACGCACAUUGCGCCCUGUGGUAUUCCGCAGGGCAUGCCUGUUCGAGCGACAUUUCAACCCUCAAGCCCCGCUUGGUGUUGGGCCCCGCCCGCUGUGGCCGGCCCUAAAGACAGUGGCGGCGCCGCCUGGCCCUCAGCGUAGUACAUCUCUCGCUCCAGGGUCCGGUGGCCGCCUGCCAGAACCCCCCAACUCUGUGGUUGACCUCGGAUCAGGUAGGGAUACCCGCUGAACUUAAGCAUAUCAAUAAGCGGAGGA
rnacentral:misc_RNA from 1 species